CGGUAUCUGCGGCGUGCGUUUGGGUCUACCAUCCCGCCGACCGUACAUCUCCUAUAGGGAGCUGCCUCUGCCCGGGAUCGUGGUCCCAUGCACGCGGCGCCCACCUGACUUGUCAGGUCGUAGGGGAAGGUUACGACCCGACGGCGCAGGUGGAACCGCC
rnacentral:other from 1 species